UACAGAGGUCUCAAGCGUUGUUCGGAUUCAUUGGGCGUAAAGGGUGUGUAGGUGGCGCGCUAAGUCGGGUGUGAAAUUUCGGAGCUUAACUCCGAAACUGCAUUCGAUACUGGCGUGCUUGAGGACUGGAGAGGAGGACGUAGGUAAUUCGAUGGUGUAGCAGUGAAAUGCGUAGAGAUCAUGAGGAAGACCAGUGGCGAAGGCGGGUCUCUGGACAGUUCCUGACACUGAGACACGAAGGCCAGGGGAGCAAACGGG
rnacentral:rRNA from 1 species